AUUGAACGCUGGCGGCAUGCUUUACACAUGCAAGUCGAACGGCAGCGCGGGCUUCGGCCUGGCGGCGAGUGGCGAACGGGUGAGUAAUGCAUCGGAACGUGCCCAGUAGUGGGGGAUAGCCCGGCGAAAGCCGGAUUAAUACCGCAUACGACCUGAGGGUGAAAGCGGGGGACCGAAAGGCCUCCCGCUCUUGGAGCGUCCGAUGUCGGAUUAGCUAGUUGGUGGGGUAAAGGCUUACCAAGGCGACGAUCCGUAGCUGGUCUGAGAGGACGACCAGCCACACUGGGACUGAGACACGGCCCAGACUCCUACGGGAGGCAGCAGUGGGGAAUUUUGGACAAUGGGGGCAACCCUGAUCCAGCCAUGCCGCGUGCGGGAAGAAGGCCUUCGGGUUGUAAACCGCUUUUGUUCGGGAAGAAAUCCUCUGGGCUAAUACCCCGGGGGGAUGACGGUACCGGAAGAAUAAGCACCGGCUAACUACGUG
rnacentral:rRNA from 1 species